GUUGCCUUCGUCACGCUAAGUAUUAUUUUAUCUAAAGUGAAACUAUAGAUUAGGAAAAUUCGGAAAUUUUACUAUUUUCUUCUACAAUUUCAUGAAAAUAGAAAAAUAUUUCUACUAUUUUGCCUCGUUAAAAAGGGGAAAAAAAGACAACAAAAAAUUAGUUGAAUCGUAAUGCACGUGGCUUGGGUUGGCAUCUGGCAAGUCGCAUGAUAAAGAUAAAGCGUUUAGAAGUUAAAACGCCAAAAUAAUAUUUGAAAUUGUGGUUUGUGUUGG